GAGUGGCGCGCGGCACGAGUACCUGGGGAGGGAUGUUGUACGUUCCCUCGUGCUGGCGAAGCGGUGGUGCGUGGCGUGGCUGAGUUUCUGUCGUCCAUUUCUAGAGAGAAUCCUGACGACGGCGUUCGCGGGAGUCCGCCGGAAGACUACAGGCUUGGACAGGUCGCCAGUAGCUUAUUUCGCGGCGAACACCAUUCCAGAGGUGGCACCGGUCGGCUGGCGUCCCUCUUCAGUUCUCUGGAGCCCCAGAUUCAACCCGUGUACGUGCCUGUGCCUAAACAAACCAUCAAAAAAACGAAACGGAAUGAGGAGGAAGAAAGUACAUCCCAGAUUGAAAGACCACUUUCGCAAGAACCUGCCAAAAAAGUGAAAGCGAAGAAGAAACACACUAACGCAGAAAAAAAGUUGGCAGACAGGGAAAGCGCUCUAGCGAGUGCUGAUUUAGAAGAAGAAAUUCACCAGAAACAAGGGCAGAAAAGGAAAAAUUCUCAACCUGGUGUUAAAGUAGCAGAUAGAAAAAUACUUGAUGACACAGAAGACACAGUUGUCAGUCAAAGAAAGAAAAUUCAAAUCAACCAAGAAGAAGAGAGAUUAAAGAAUGAGAGAACUGUGUUUGUUGGGAAUUUGCCUGUUACAUGUAAUAAGAAG
rnacentral:lncRNA from 1 species